ACCAGUAUAAAGGAAGUGAAUAUGAAAUAAGGGUUUUAGAGUAAUAAACAAAUGAAGUGACGUGCUGAAUGACGGAUGAGAGCAGAUAUAAUAAUCACAUAGUUUGAAGCUGCAGACAGAAACAUCAGACUCAGAACAGAAACACACUACCUCUAAAAAAUGGAGCAAACUCUAUAUUUCAUUCUUCUUCUCGUUGCUCUCUGCUCCGUAUCUGAAUGUGUUCAGCGUCAGUAUCACUUUAUAAAUGAGAUGAAGACCUGGACUGAAGCUCAGAGAUACUGCAGAGAGAAAUACACAGAUCUGGCCACCGCUGACAACAUGAACGACAUGAACGAGCUGAACAAGAGUGUGAAUGUUCAGUUUGUCUGGAUUGGGCUGCAGAAGACGGGUCGUGAUGAAUGGCAUUGGUCUUCAGGUGAACCU